GCGACGUCAACUUCUUGUCUGUGUUUCUGCAUUGGAGCAGCGAAAAGUCUGUGGAGAAGCUGAAGGUUUCGUCAAAAGAUACAGAAGAGUCCAACUCGAGUUCCAACAAGUGAGUAUCAAGGCAUGUUUUCCACUAUACAGUUGAGAACAUCCAGGUUCGAAUCCUGGAAACCCAUGAAUUUAACAUUUUCAAUAGAGUGAAUGGAGCCAAGGAAUCAACAAAGAAUUGAACAAAUUAAUCCAUGGAAGGAAGAGUGUCCUUCUCAAGAAGGGUGCAGACAUUUUGCAGGGAUGCAACAUUUUCUCGGCAUGUUUAUAGAAAUGCAAGUAAGAUGCCCUUUUUUUGAAAUUCUGCCCACUUCCUAAGGAACAAUGGAUUCAUCAGAGAGAAAGAUUGCAACACUGGCAACUAUUUAUGGCAUGAUACUCCAUAGCAGAGAUCCACUAGCCUCUGGUAUUCAGAGAAUAUAUUCGACACUAGCAAUACGUUAUCAUGCAGAUAACUAGGUACCCAUACAUACAUAUAAAAAUUGGAUUAAAGAUAUAACAAUGAAUUAUUUGUCAAACAAUAAAAAAACAACAGACAAACAAAAAACAAUAUCAAAUACCAACAACCAUUUGGGGGAAGUACAUUUACUUGAAACUUCAAACAUUUUACAUUAUAAAAACAAAUUAUUGAUAAUUUGUUUUCAAAGUGUAAAACAUCUGAAGAUUUUAAAUGAAAGCACUUACGUUUUACGUGGUGUCAGAUUUUAUUUAAUUUUUAUCUCACCUUAGGUGAAAGUUUAAGUGAGUUUUUUUUAAGAGGAAAUGUAGUCUGCAUAUCAUGUACUUUUGUUUGAACACCCGUUGUCCAUCUGUCUGUAAACUUUAUACAUUUUAGACUUCUCCAGGACCAAAGGGCCAAUCUCAUCCAAAUUUGUCAAAAACCAUCCUUUAAUGAAGGGCUUUCAAGUUUGUUCAAAUGAAGGCUUAAAAUUAUGGCUCACCCACAGGGAGCGUGGGGGGUAGGUUUGGGGCCACAAUAAGGGAUAAAAUUUUACAUGCAAAUACAUUUAUAUAUAGGGAAAAUCUUUAAAUAUGGGCCAAGGUGACAUGACUCAGAUGAGUGAUAUGUGGCCCAUGGGCCUUUUGUUUACUUAUUGAUUACGGGCCAAUUUUUCACAUUUAUAUAUAUAUAUAUAUAUAUAUAUAUAUAUAUAUAUAUAUAAUAAACAAUGAACAAAAUAAUCUGCAUUGUGAUGUAUU